rnacentral:rRNA from 1 species
GACGAACGCUGGCGGCGUGCUUAACACAUGCAAGUCGAACGGAAAGGCCCUGCUUUUGUGGGGUGCUCGAGUGGCGAACGGGUGAGUAACACGUGAGUAACCUGCCCUUGACUUUGGGAUAACUUCAGGAAACUGGGGCUAAUACCGGAUAGGAGCUCCUGCUGCAUGGUGGGGGUUGGAAAGUUUCGGCGGUUGGGGAUGGACUCGCGGCUUAUCAGCUUGUUGGUGGGGUAGUGGCUUACCAAGGCUUUGACGGGUAGCCGGCCUGAGAGGGUGACCGGCCACAUUGGGACUGAGAUACGGCACAGAAUCCUAAGGGAGGCAGCAGUGGGGAAUAUUGCACAAUGGGCGGAAGCCUGAUGCAGCAACGCCGCGUGCGGGAUGACGGCCUUCGGGUUGUAAACCGCUUUCGCCUGUGACGAAGCGUGAGUGACGGUAAUGGGUAGAGAAGCACCGGCUAACUACGUG